UACGUAGGGGGCUAGCGUUGUCCGGAAUCAUUGGGCGUAAAGCGCGCGUAGGCGGCCAGAUAAGUCCGGUGUGAAAGUCAAAGGCUCAACCUUUGAAUGCCGCUGGAAACUGUCUGGCUUGAGUCCGGAAGGGGCGAGUGGAAUUCCUGGUGUAGCGGUGAAAUGCGCAGAUAUCAGGAGGAACACCAAUGGCGAAGGCAGCUCGCUGGAACGGUACUGACGCUGGAGGCGCGAAAAGCGUGGGGAGCGAACAGG
rnacentral:rRNA from 1 species